rnacentral:rRNA from 1 species
UACGUAGGGUCCGAGCGUUGUCCGGAAUUACUGGGCGUAAAGAGCUCGUAGGUGGUUUGUCGCGUUGUUCGUGAAAACUCACAGCUCAACUGUGGGCGUGCGGGCGAUACGGGGCAGACUAGAGUACUGCAGGGGAGACUGGAAUUCCUGGUGUAGCGGUGGAAUGCGCAGAUAUCAGGAGGAACACCGGUGGCGAAGGCGGGUCUCUGGGCAUUAACUGACGCUGAGGAGCGAAAGCAUGGGGGAGCGAACAGG